CACAUAGGACAACCACAACUUUUUAUUUAUUUCUCAAAGAAAAAGGUUUUUGCUUCCUUUUACUGGUGGAGACAGGGCACAUUUAUAAUGACAGAGAACCCCACUUUGGGGAGGGCUCCUGCAGUGGGCAGGAGGCUUUGGAGGGACCUGCUGGGGAAGCCCUGGUGCAGGGAACCCCACUGAGGUUGCUGAAUGCCUGUGACAGGUGGUUUCAGCCACUACUCUGGUGGAGGAACACAUCUGCUGAGGCCUGUCUUGAUCUUUGUGUCUUUGUCAGGACAUAUCAGUAGGCAUGUUAACUUGGCCAUGGGAAUACAGACUCUUGGUCCUAUUUAUGGACUUCACCUAUAAGGGGAUUUUCAGUUCAAUGAGUAUCCCAGAUAAUACCUCAUGUCAAAUACAACUUCCUGUCUGUAAGAGUGGGUGUCUCUACUGCCUGCCUGGAUGGCAAAGCACUCUAUCAAUGAUGGGAUAAAGAUUAACUAAAAAUGAAAGUAAUUGGGUUUUCUCUAGCUUCUUCUCUGUUUCUUUCACAAGUUGCUCUUAGGCACCAGAGCCCCUCUUUGAGAUGGAAAUAGUUACUGUGCUUCUCUCUUGGCAGUUUGGUCUAGUUGGUAACUGGAGUCUUCUCAUUUGGCAAGCUAUUCUCAGGGUUCCCACGUUGCACUCGUUCUUGCAUUUUCCAUUCCCUUAUUACUUUCCUAAUAACUGCUUCUCAGGCCUCCUCUUCCUUUAAUAUUUUCUUGUGUGUUUGGCUGGGCUUCUCUGCAUUUUUGGUAUGGCGUACGAUGUGCCAUCGCUGGAACAAGAUGUCACAGCUUUUCAGCUGCUGGGCUUGGGGUUGCUCAUUCAGAACGCUUUGCUUCAGUUGCCUGUUUCAGCUCUCUCCACGAGAGCUUUAACUCUGGUUUAUGGGGGGUCUCUGCUAUAGCAGCGACAUUCUGGAACGGAAGAUGCCUCGUCUGGUAAACAGUUGCUAGUAUCUUGGCUACAGUGAGACACCUUUCUCAGCUGGAGUCGCUGGAGCUUUGUGGUCUGGAGUCUCUACUCUGGCUUGCGGUUCAUUCAGGCUCUCUUCUGCUUCUUGCUCCUGGCUGGAUAUAUUCCCUUGUUUGCUCUAGCUCAUCACCUUAAGGAAUCUCAGUAGUCUAUACAGUCAUUUGUGGUUUGGUAUUUUUGUCAGUCCUGACUGUCAUGCCAAUUUUUGCUCUGUAGCCUGGACCUCUUAAGUUUUGUCCCCUGCACCCACAGCAUCUCUCCUUUCCUCCUUCAGCCUCUUCUGCUCAGAAGUUUUUGUGUGUUGGUCUUGUAAGGCAGAAAAAUCCUCUCUGCUCUGAAUUCUUCAGAAUAUAAAUUUAUGUUAACUGUCUCCUUAUUUUGCUAGUAAAAAAUUAGAAUGGAUAGGAUUAACCUAAAAAGUAAGCAAUUGUGCUUUUCAAAGGCAUUUCAAGAUUUUAGGCCUAUUCAAGACUGGAGAAUACCGACUCUCAAAAACGUCUUCUAUCAGAAGGGCAAAUCAGUUCUCCAAAGGGAACUGAAUGGCAGUGUGGAUCUUCUGCCAAAAGUUCCUAAUACUGGGACUGUACCAGGAAACUUGUGUGGGUCCUGUUCUGCUCUUACUCAAGUCAAAGGUAAAGUUCCUAUUGACUGCAGCAGGAUAAGGCUCAGGCUUCAACACUCAGUCCUCACAUUCCCAUGUUGCACAUUUUCUUUCAAAUUCUUAUUCAUUUUUUUUCUUUAAUUUUAGGCUCUGGCAGUAUACCAAUCAUUGCUUUCUCCUGUACAUUUUCUGGAAGGAAAAUCAGAGAUAGGAAUCAUUUCCCUCGCCUCUUAUACUGUUCAAGAGUAGCUCCUGUUCUGUGCCCCAAAGUGUGGCUGGAACUCAGCAGCUGUAAUCUGGAGUGACAGAUGAGCAAGUCUGAUCAUAAAAAGAGGGGAAAAAAAAACCAACAAACUGCUGGAAAAGGAGCAAGUAAACAGAAGAAAAGCUUGUAGUCGUGUCAGAAAGGCAAGAAGUGAUAUCUCAAAAGAAUUACUUUUGCAUUUCAGUAAUCCCUUGGUUUACUUGGAGAGAUAAAAGAAAUUGUGGAUAGGCUGUGGUCAAGCUGGAGACAGCAAACAUGAAAAAUGGGAUCUCGGGACAUUUACCAUGGGAAAUGAAACUCCAGCAUCACUGUGUUGCAAUGAGUGUUAAUGCAUCCGGAGCUUAAGUGUCUUACUUGUAAGUAUACAGACUGCUAUAUAUAGCACUGGAAAUAAACACUCGUAAUCUGAUAGCUUCAAACAUAGUAGGUUUCAUGUAUUAGGCUGUAAGAACACAUGGAAGAAGCAAGUGUAAGAAUAAACCUGAUAGUGAUUUUUUUGCUAUGAAGCAAAGCCUACUCCACACAUGACAUCUUAUUUAAGAGCUUGAUAGAUUUCAUGGAAUGGCACCAAACCAUUCCAAACCCAAUCUGUAAUGUACAUCUUAGUUCAUCUUAAUGCUAAUAAAACCUAAAUGAAAUACGACACUGCA